UACGAAGGGUGCAAGCGUUAAUCGGAAUUACUGGGCGUAAAGCGUGCGUAGGCGGUUCGUUAAGUCUGUUGUGAAAUCCCCGGGCUCAACCUGGGAAUGGCAAUGGAUACUGGCAGGCUAGAGUGUGUCAGAGGAUGGUGGAAUUCCCGGUGUAGCGGUGAAAUGCGUAGAGAUCGGGAGGAACAUCAGUGGCGAAGGCGGCCAUCUGGGACAACACUGACGCUGAGGCACGAAAGCGUGGGGAGCAAACAGG
rnacentral:rRNA from 1 species